CCUACGGGUGGCAGCAGUGGGGGAUAUUGGACAAUGGGGGAAACCCUGAUCCAGCGACGCCGCGUUAGUGAAGAAGUAUUUCGGUAUGUAAAGCUCUAUCAGCAGGGAAGAAAGAAAUGACGGUACCUGAGUCAGAAGCCCCGGCUAACUACGUGCCAGCAGCCGCGGUAAUACGUAGGGGGCAAGCGUUAUCCGGAAUUACUGGGUGUAAAGGGAGCGUAGACGGUAAUGCAAGUCUGGAGUGAAAGGCGGGGGGCCAACCCCCGGACUGCUCUGGAAACUGUGUAACUGGAGUGCAGGAGAGGCAGGCGGAAUUCCUAGUGUAGCGGUGAAAUGCGUAGAUAUUAGGAGGAACACCAGUGGCGAAGGCGGCCUGCUGGACUGUAACUGACGUUGAGGCUCGAAAGCGUGGGGAGCAAACAGGAUUAGAUACCCGGGUAGUC
rnacentral:rRNA from 1 species